UACAGAGGUCCCAAGCGUUGUUCGGAUUCACUGGGCGUAAAGGGUGCGUAGGCGGUUUGACAAGUCUGCUGUGAAAUCCCGCAGCUUAACUGCGGAACUGCAUUGGAAACUGUUUGACUAGAGGAAUGGAGGGGAGACUGGAAUACUUGGUGUAGCAGUGAGAUGCGUAGAUAUCAAGUGGAACACCAGUGGCGAAGGCGAGUCUCUGGACAUUUCCUGACGCUGAGGCACGAAAGCCAGGGGAGCAAACGGG
rnacentral:rRNA from 1 species